GGCUCCGUAGCUUAAUUGGAUAGAGCAUCUGACUACGGAUCAGAAGGUUGGGGGUUCGAGUCUCUCCGGAGUCAC
rnacentral:tRNA from 1 species